rnacentral:rRNA from 1 species
CCUACGGGUGGCAGCAGUGGGGAAUAGUGCGCAAUGGGCGAAAGCCUGACGCAGCGACGCCGCGUGAGGGAUGAAGGUCUUCGGAGCGUAAACCUCUGUCAGCAGGGAAGAACGGUCACUGUGCUAAUCAGCAGUGAAUUGACGGUACCAGCAAAGGAAGCACCGGCUAACUCCGUGCCAGCAGCCGCGGUAAGACGGAGGGUGAGAGCUUUCAUCGGAAUUACGGGGCGUAAAGCGCUCGGAGGCGGUAUGUCAAGUCAAGGGUGAAAUCCCCGCGCUCAACGUGGGAACUGCCUUUGAAACUUGCAAACUGGAGUGUGUGAGAGGAUAGUGGAAUUCCCGGUGUAGU